ACUGGCUCUAAUGAGAACUGAGGGGUAGUCUUGCAAAACCAACCCUGGAAAUCGAAGGCAAACACUGCUGCCUCUUUCUCAAACGGCACUCGGGCUGGACCUGAGAAAUAAUUAGGCAUCUGGUAAAAAGAUCAGAAUUUCAGAAAGUACCUGAUAAUCAAGCUUCUUUGGAAUUCACAACAUGAACUUGGCAGGAGUCAGAAGAGAAGUCAGAGGAGAAGCCUCCCGGAAUUCACGGACCUGGUCUAGAAGAUGUCCAGGGAGUACAGAAAAAGGAGUCAGAGUGAUGCGCUCCUGCCGGCCUCCAAGAAGCAGCACAACCAUGCUGUGAACCACCUACAGGGUCCAAGCAGCAAGAAAAGUAGGAGUUCUCAAGGCCCAGAUGACGGCUGACAAGAAAGGGAGAUUGUCUCCCUGUGACUGCAAGGAACUGAAUUCAGCUAAUGACCAGAACGAGCUUGGAAGCGGAUUCUUCCCCACAACCUCCAGAAAGGGAUACGGCUCAGUUACCAUAUCAAUUUCAAUCUUGUAAGACCCUGAGAAGAGGACUCGCCAGGCCCUGCCCAUACUUCCAAAAUGCAGAAAGAUGUAACUUAACAGGAGUUGCAGAGGUGGGCCGGCAACCUUGGUAUGCAAGCUCCCCAGAUGAGUGUCAUGCGUGUGAGCCCUGGAGAAUGUUCUGCUAGAGAUGCAGCAAGCCUGCAGCUGCCCUCCACCCAACAGUGUCUGAGAGUGUGUGGUUGGGGGAGGGGGCAUUUACUUGUUCCUUUUGAGUCCUAAAGUUCCAUGCCAGCAGAAGCCCAAAUAACUGAGAGAGGUCAAAGCGAAAAGGAAAAAGAGGAAAGGAAAAGAAAUGAGUCUCCAGUUUCCUGCCUGUUGCUGGCCUCUUUUACCCCUUCCUGUUUUUUGGAGACCCCCUGAUGAGAAAAUAGAAGGACCUUAGGUUCCUGCUGGACCAUGCCAUGCUUGCUCCCUCCCUUCCGGCCUCUGCAGGGAGCCUCUUCAGUCCACCUACCAGGAACCUGGGCUGUAACCAUUUAUGUGUCUCCACUACAACCUAUGGCCACACAGGACAGAGAGCAGGGCCAGCCUUGCCCACCAGUGUUUCACAUAGUGCCCAACCCCCGUGCGUGUUUCUUGAAAGAAUAGUCAGAAAAUAGCCAAGGGAGGAAGCAGCAUGGACCAGGAAAGAAGGACCAUUGAGUUGGAACUGGACAGUCUGAAGCAGACACUUAGCAAACCAGGCCGUUCACAGCAGGCAGCUCUGUCAUUGUCCUCCCCGCCCCCACCAACCGCUCCAGCUGCCUCCCAGGAGGUAAGGGGUUAGAAACACGGAACAAUAGGCUCCUGUUCUUUGGCAAAAUUGGGCCAACCCCUAGACCUUGUGCUAUUAAUUUAUGCCCAAACUGAAGUAUGCAGUUUUUGGCCUUCCCUCGAGGCCUGGAGGCCCCCAGACAACACUGAGGCACCCAAGCCCGAGGACCAACUGCUGCUUCACCCACACGUGACAUUGAGCGGCCACCAAGCUCUUCCAAAGAGCUGCUCACACACCUGCUGUUUUUAACACUCUAAAUUCCUUCCCAGCCUGCAAAUGUGGGCAUCUUCAUCCACGGCUGACCGGGAUAACUUGUGCUGCACCUUUCCAAAGCGGAGAAUCGUCUGUUCAAUUCUGAAGUACUAACCACAAGAAAUUAACAAGCACUUACCAAGGAGGUACCUGCGAGGUCCCACAGAUCAUGGGGAAUAUAAAACGUGAGGCAUGAUCCACAGACCAUCAUCUCGAAGCCUGGACUCACUUCAGAAAAGACUUUUCUUGCCUUGACUUCCACAUGAUUCAUCUGUCACCUAAUUCUGAUGUCCAUCCAGGCGUUAAAUGGAUUUCAGGCCUUUUAACCUAAAACCCUCUGCCACCUCAUUCGUUAUACCUAGCAACCAAACACAAAGGGAGCUUAAUAAAUACUUAUGGUGGAUGAUGAUGACUUCAGUCUGGAGACCUGUGGGAUGACUGGCACAAUCACAGACUGUCGGGCUCCUGGAAACCCGGGCCCUUGGUUCUUCCUCUGCUGGGCUUCCCUGCCCCGACCCAACUCCUGGAC